AUGAGAUUUUACAAAAUAAGACCAUACCACACUUUCCUAUUUCCCUGAUGCCUAGAACAGUUCCUUAACAUAGGAGGUAGGUUACAAAGGUUUAUUGAAUGAAAGGAUAUGACUUGUAAAUGUAUAUUUUGUGUCUACUAUUUAAGAUCCACAAAGAAAUCAUCAAAGCCAUGUGAAAACAUGGUAACCAUUGAUCAAACAAUGUAAUAUUAUCACUAUAGUUUCUCAGUAGGUCACAAUCCCUCAAGACUCCGCAGUCAAAAUGGAACUCUACAUUGUUUCAUAGCCUCUUUUUUAGAUUGGAGUCCAAGAGCUACAUCAGAAGUAAGUGGAGAACCUAGGAAUUGGAGAGGAUAGAGUAAAGAUUGAUCCCAAAGAGCAAAGACCAUUCAUCUAAACUUAGAAACAGAAAAGUGGAAUGUAUGACAUUGAAGAGAGUGUCCAAACAUAGCAUCAAAAAGAUUUAUUUUCUUCAUCAGUACUGAAUGAUUCCUGACAACCAUCUAGCAGCAUUAUUUGUGGGUUGUUCUCUAACACCUCACCCCAAUAUAUAUAUAUAGUAAAGUAACACUGAUAAGUUAAGGUAAACAAGAUAUCUAAAUACCAUUACACAAAAAUCAGGGGUCUGUGAUGGCUGAACAAAUUGCCCUAUGUACUAGAGAGGGGAAAUCAGAAGAUGUCACACCAGGAAGUAGUUGAAUGAAAGAAGCUGAAUCUUGAGCCCCCCUUCCCUCUCUACUUCCUGUUCUUCCUUUCACCAAGCAACCUAAUGGAGGUUUUCUUCACAGAUGAAAAGUAAUGGACAAGGGUGGAAUGAAAGGGACCACAUAGUUCACUGUACAUCUCCUUUCUUAAAGAAGUCUCAUCCACUGCUGAGCUUUGAUGAAGGACAUUAGCUUGGUAUGGAAGCAAGAGGAUGUGAUUUCAUGAAGAAAACUAUCUCUCAUAACAAAACCUGCCAAGGAAAGAGAAGGGAGGGAGUAGGAGAAAGCAGUUCCCCCAAAGCUACCCACAUCAAAAAUGAACAACUAAAACAGUCCUGUAUAGAGGCAAUUAGGAAGCAUAAUGGAUCGAGUGCCAGGAGUCAUAGGAUCUGGUUUCAAAUCUGGCCUCAGCCACUUCUUAGCUGGAUGACUCUGGGGUUCUUGUUCAUUUGAAUAUAAAAAGACAUUCAGUUCCCAAUAUAAACGAAUUUAAAGUGGAGUGUAAGGUAUAUCUGCCUGAUGUGGAGAAAGUCGGAUCUCCUUGGCAACUGAAUGAGGAAUCUGAGGACUCAAAGGCUAGAGAUGAGGACCCACAAUGCACUUCUGGAGUCCACGUUGAACAGUUUUGAGGUAGAAGGGAGCUUCGGGAUCAUUUAGGACACUCUUCAUUUUACAGCUGAGGCAACUGGCGUCCGAGACUAACGUCCCACAGGCAGUACGAAGCAGAGCUGGCACAUGAACCCCCUCCUCCGACGCCAAGUUUAUUGGCCGCUCUGCCCUGUCCUGGGCAGACGCAGGCAGACCAAUUACAGAUCCCAGCCCAACGCUACACCUGAGAGACUUGGAAACAAACAUCGAGUCUGGGGGUUCUUUGUGGCUUUUUGGUGCCCCCUAAGGACUCCUUCCCCAAAUAAUUCCUUUAAAUUCAGGAAAUAAACAUACAUAGGAUUACA
rnacentral:lncRNA from 1 species